AGAGUUUGAUCCUGGCUCAGGAUGAACGCUGGCGGCGUGCUUAACACAUGCAAGUCGAACGGUGAAGCCAAGCUUGCUUGGUGGAUCAGUGGCGAACGGGUGAGUAACACGUGAGCAACCUGCCCUGAACUCUGGGAUAAGCGCUGGAAACGGCGUCUAAUACUGGAUAUGAGCUGCGGAGGCAUCUUCGUGGUUGGAAAGAUUUUUCGGUUUGGGAUGGGCUCGCGGCCUAUCAGCUUGUUGGUGAGGUAAUGGCUCACCAAGGCGUCGACGGGUAGCCGGCCUGAGAGGGUGACCGGCCACACUGGGACUGAGACACGGCCCAGACUCCUACGGGAGGCAGCAGUGGGGAAUAUUGCACAAUGGGCGGAAGCCUGAUGCAGCAAUGCCGCGUGAGGGAUGACGGCCUUCGGGUUGUAAACCUCUUUUAGCAGGGAAGAAGCGAAAGUGACGGUACCUGCAGAAAAAGCGCCGGCUAACUACGUGCCAGCAGCCGCGGUAAUACGUAGGGCGCAAGCGUUAUCCGGAAUUAUUGGGCGUAAAGAGCUCGUAGGCGGUUUGUCGCGUCUGCUGUGAAAACCCGAGGCUCAACCUCGGGCCUGCAGUGGGUACGGGCGGACUAGAGUGCGGUAGGGGAGAUUGGAAUUCCUGGUGUAGCGGUGGAAUGCGCAGAUAUCAGGAGGAACACCGAUGGCGAAGGCAGAUCUCUGGGCCGUAACUGACGCUGAGGAGCGAAAGGGUGGGGAGCAAACAGGCUUAGAUACCCUGGUAGUCCACCCCGUAAACGUUGGGAACUAGUUGUGGGGUCCAUUCCACGGAUUCCGUGACGCAGCUAACGCAUUAAGUUCCCCGCCUGGGGAGUACGGCCGCAAGGCUAAAACUCAAAGGAAUUGACGGGGACCCGCACAAGCGGCGGAGCAUGCGGAUUAAUUCGAUGCAACGCGAAGAACCUUACCAAGGCUUGACAUACACGAGAACGCUGCAGAAAUGUAGAACUCUUUGGACACUCGUGAACAGGUGGUGCAUGGUUGUCGUCAGCUCGUGUCGUGAGAUGUUGGGUUAAGUCCCGCAACGAGCGCAACCCUCGUUCUAUGUUGCCAGCACGUAAUGGUGGGAACUCAUGGGAUACUGCCGGGGUCAACUCGGAGGAAGGUGGGGAUGACGUCAAAUCAUCAUGCCCCUUAUGUCUUGGGCUUCACGCAUGCUACAAUGGCCGGUACAAAGGGCUGCAAUACCGCGAGGUGGAGCGAAUCCCAAAAAGCCGGUCCCAGUUCGGAUUGAGGUCUGCAACUCGACCUCAUGAAGUCGGAGUCGCUAGUAAUCGCAGAUCAGCAACGCUGCGGUGAAUACGUUCCCGGGUCUUGUACACACCGCCCGUCAAGUCAUGAAAGUCGGUAACACCUGAAGCCGGUGGCCCAACCCUUGUGGAGGGAGCCGUCGAAGGUGGGAUCGGUAAUUAGGACUAAGUCGUAACAAGGUAACC
rnacentral:rRNA from 1 species